CCUACGGGUGGCAGCAGUCGAGAAUCAUUCACAAUGGGCGAAAGCCUGAUGGUGUGACGCCGCGUGGAGGAUGAAGGUCUUCGGAUUGUAAACUCCUGUCAUUGAUGAGCUAUUAGUCAAAGAGGAAGAGACGGCUAACUCUGUGCCAGCAGCCGCGGUAAUACAGAGGUCUCAAGCGUUGUUCGGAAUCACUGGGCGUAAAGGGUGCGUAGGUUGUUCCCUAAGUCAGAUGUGAAAGACCGGAGCUCAACUUCGGAACUGCAUUUGAUACUGGGGGACUGGAGGGUUCGAGGGGAGUCUGGAAUUCACGGUGUAGCAGUGAAAUGCGUGGAUAUCGUGAGGAACACUAGUGGCGAAGGCGGGACUCUGGAGAAACUGACACUGAGGCACGAAGGCCAGGGGAGCGAACGGGAUUAGAUACCCUGGUAGUC
rnacentral:rRNA from 1 species